rnacentral:misc_RNA from 1 species
CCGUUGAUCAUAAGUCAUACAAGGCGGCUAUAUCAAUAAAUAAAUUUCAUAUAUCUAGUCAACCAAACCAAAACCUUGGCUGCAGCGGUCCGUAAAUUCUUUGCAAAAACCCAAUCCGAUCACACUCCUAAAAUCAGGGACGAUCAUGGUGGUCGAUAUCCUUCUACAAGUAUUCUUGAUCCUUCUUUCCGUUUUCCUCUAUCUAUAUAUGCAUGAUAUCCCCCAAAAAGUUCUAGCCAAACUGCGACAGCAUCGCAACCGCGCCGCCGUAGAGGCCAAGCGCCACUUCAUCAUCGGCGCCCAGAUGCUGUCGGAGGCUAGAUCUCCCUCCAACUCUGGCUCCAGUGCCAUCUCCUUGGCCAAAAAA